rnacentral:ncRNA from 1 species
GUAAAGUUUGAUUCUUUCUUUAAUUUUUAUACAUUUAUUGAAGUUGCAUGAGAAUUAUGGUGUGUAUAUUUUUCUUCCUUUAAAAGGCAGGUAAUAAAAUGAGAUUAGAAUGAGUUGUCGAUAAAAUUGUAAAUGCUCAGCAUAUAUUAUUAACUAAUUUAAGAAAUUAAGAAUUAGCAUGUAAGAAAGAGAUCUGAUGAAAUAUUGUGCCAGCAGUCGCGGUUAUACAUUAAGGUCAAGUAAAAAUUAAAUAUUGUUUAGUUAAAUUUAAAUAAAUUUAAUUGUGAAACUAACUUGAAAAUUUGGGGGUAAAAUUAAAAAUUUUAAAAGUUAACUGUUAAAAAAAUUGAAGCUAAAAAAAUUUAGAUUUAAACUAGGAUUAGAUACCCUAUUAUACUAAAAAUAAAUUAUAAAAGUUGAUUAAUACUAGAUAUGUGCUUAAAAUUUGAAGAAUUUGGCGGUAGUUUAGUCUUGUUAGAGGAACCUGUUUUAUUUAAUCGAUAAACCGCGUAAAAUCUUGCUUUUUUUUGUUAGUCAGCUUAUAUACCGUCAUUAACAGAUAAUUUUAUAAGAACUAAUUAUUAAAAUUUAUAAAAAUAUAAAUGAAAUUAGAUCAAGGUGUAGUCUAUAAAAAAGCUAAAAUGGGUUACAAUAAAAUUUGUUUAAAAACGUAUUUAUGGAGCAAGAUCUAUAAUGAAGGAGGAUUUAAUUGUAAUUAUAAGUUAAUACGUUAUAAUGAUAUAUAGCACUAAAUUAUGUACAUAUUGCCCGUCGCUUUCAUUCAAAGAUGAGAUAAGUCGUAACAUAGUAGGUUUAUUGGAAAUUGAACCUAGAUUGGU